UACGUAGGGUGCAAGCGUUGUCCGGAAUCAUUGGGCGUAAAGCGCGCGUAGGCGGCCCGAUAAGUCCGCUGUAAAAGUCAACGGCUCAACUGUUGAAAGCCGGUGGAUACUGUCGGGCUAGAGUACGGAAGAGGCAAGUGGAAUUCCUGGUGUAGCGGUGGAAUGCGCAAAUAUCAGGAGGAACACCUAUAGCGAAGGCAGCUUGCUGGGACGUUACUGACGCUAAGGCGCGAAAGCGUGGGGAGCGAACAGG
rnacentral:rRNA from 1 species